rnacentral:rRNA from 1 species
AGCGGCGAACGGGUGAGUAACACGUAGGUGAUCUGCCCAUCAGACGGGGACAACGAUUGGAAACGAUCGCUAAUACCGGAUAGGACGAAAGUUUAAAGGUGCUUCUGGCACCGCUGAUGGAUGAGCCUGCGGCGCAUUAGCUAGUUGGUAGGGUAAAGGCCUACCAAGGCGACGAUGCGUAGCCGACCUGAGAGGGUGAACGGCCACACUGGGACUGAGACACGGCCCAGACUCCAACGGGAGGCAGCAGUAGGGAAUCUUCGGCAAUGGGCGAAAGCCUGACCGAGCAACGCCGCGUGAAUGAUGAAGGCCUUCGGGUUGUAAAAUUCUGUUAUAAGGGAAGAACGACUUUAGUAGGAAAUGGCUAGAGUGUGACGGUACCUUAUGAGAAAGCCACGGCUAACUACGUGCCAGCAGCCGCGGUAAUACGUAGGUGGCGAGCGUUAUCCGGAAUUAUUGGGCGUAAAGAGCGCGCAGGUGGUUGAUUAAGUCUGAUGUGAAAGCCCACGGCUUAACCGUGGAGGGUCAUUGGAAACUGGUCGACUUGAGUGCAGAAGGGGGAAGUGGAAUUCCAUGUGUAGCGGUGAAAUGCGUAGAGAUAUGGAGGAACACCAGUGGCGAAGGCGGCUUCCUGGUCUGUAACUGACACUGAGGCGCGAAAGCGUGGGGAGCAAACAGGAUUAGAUACCCUGGUAGUCCACGCCGUAAACGAUGAGUGCUAAGUGU